UGAACGCUGGCGGCAGGCCUAAGACAUGCAAGUCGAACGGUAACGACACUAGCUUGCUAGUGGUCGACGAGUGGCGGACGGGUGAGUAACGCGUAGGAAUCUACCUAGUAGUGGGGGAUAGCCAAGGGAAACUUUGGGUAAUACCGCAUACGAUCUAAGGAUGAAAGGGGGCCUCUCUUUGAAGCUCUCGCUAUUAGAUGAGCCUGCGUAAGAUUAGCUUGUUGGUGGGGUAGUGGCCCACCAAGGCGACGAUCUUUAGCUGGUCUGAGAGGAUGAUCAGUCACACUGGAACUGAGACACGGUCCAGACUCCUACGGGAGGCAGCAGUCGGGAAUAUUGGACAAUGGGGGAAACCCUGAUCCAGCCAUGCCGCGUGUGUGAAGAAGGCCCUAGGGUUGUAAAGCACUUUUAGUAGUGAGGAAGGCUCAGUAGUUAAUACCUACUGGGAUUGACGUUAGCUACAGAAAAAGCACCGGCUAAUUUC
rnacentral:rRNA from 1 species